rnacentral:rRNA from 1 species
CCUACGGGAGGCAGCAGUGAGGAAUAUUGGUCAAUGGGCGCGAGCCUGAACCAGCCAAGUCGCGUGAGGGAUGACGGCCCUACGGGUUGUAAACCUCUUUUGCCGGGGAGCAACGGGCGCCACGUGUGGCGCCACUGAGAGUACCCGGAGAAAAAGCAUCGGCUAACUCCGUGCCAGCAGCCGCGGUAAUACGGAGGAUGCGAGCGUUAUCCGGAUGUAUUGGGUUUAAAGGGUGCGUAGGCGGCUCGUUAAGUCAGGGGUCAAAUUGAGGGGCUCAACCACUUCCCGCCAUUGAAACUGGAGAUCCUGAGUGGAAGAGAAGUAUGCGGAAUGCGUGGUGUAGCGGUGAAAUGCAUAGAUAUCACGCAGAACCCCGAUUGCGAAGGCAGCAUGCCGGCUUCCGACUGACGCUGAAGCACGAAAGCGUGGGGAUCGAACAGGAUUAGAUACCCGGGUAGUC